rnacentral:rRNA from 1 species
UAUGUGAUCGUCUCUCGCAUAUCAAUAAGCGGAGGAAAAGAAACUAACAAGGAUUCCCCUAGUAACGGCGAGUGAAGCGGGAAGAGCUCAAAUUUGAAAUCUUAAAGGGUUUCCCUUUACGAAUUGUAGUUUAAAGAAGUGUUUUCUGUUGAGGUUUUGGUAAAAGUUCUUUGGAAUAGGACAUCAUAGAGGGUGAGAAUCCCGUAUUUGACCUUUACUUUCAACUUUGUGAUACACUUUCAAAGAGUCGGAUUGUUUGGGAAUGCAGUCCAAAAUGGGUGGUAAAUUUCAUCUAAAGCUAAAUAUUGGCGAGAGACCGAUAGCGAACAAGUACCGUGAGGGAAAGAUGAAAAGAACUUUGAAAAGAGAGUUAAACAGUACGUGAAAUUGUCAAAAGGGAAGCGUUUGACACCAGUGUUGUUUUUCUGAAAAUCAAUUAAAGAACUGUUUAUGCUAAGCUGUUUAGACUUUAUCAGCUAUCUGUUUAGUUUUAGGCUUUUCUUUAAUGCACUUUUCAGUUAACAAGUCAACAUCAAUUUCCUUUGCUGUAAAAAAGCUUGAGGAAGGUGGCUUGAGAUUCGUCUUAAGUGUUUAUAGCCUCUUGCCUAUGCAGUCGGAGAGAUUGAGGUCUGCAGCGUAGAUCCUUCGGGGCUAAAUGCAUUUGUGCUAAGUUAUAGCAUUUUAUAGACAACUUGUUGACUAUGAUUUGUCUUGUAGCUUACUCGCUUAUGUUAUUUUACCUACGCUUAGGAUGUUGAUCUACAGAGCGAGAGU